AUUUUGCAAGUGAAAAUGGUAAUCUUUCAACUGUGAACUUCUUAAUUUCACUGAAGCUAUUCGAUGUUAACAAAAGGGAAAAAACAUUGAAUAAAACAUCAGUUAUGUUUGCCGCAAACGAAGGACAUGAAAAUGUUUAUCUUCAUCUGCUGUCUGAGGGCGCAGAUCUGACCAUUACAGAUGGGUACAAUAACGACUGCCUGAUGUUGGCAUGUGAAGGAGGCAACAUAUCUAUUGUGAAACACAUCCUAUCCAUGAAAACAUGCUGACAUCAACAGGCGGGGAGGAUUUGCAAAAGGACACCAAUUAUGAUAGCAUUAGAAACAGAGCACUAUGAUGUCUAUCAUCUCCUUGUAUCUGAGGGUGCAGAUCUCACCAUUACUGAUGGAAACAACACUGACUGCCUGAUGCUGGCAAGAGUGAAAGGUAACAUAUCUAUUGUGAAACACAUCCUAUCCAUGAAGAUAUGUGGCAUCAACAGACGAGGAGGAUUCCAUGAAAAACACCAAUUAUGAUAGCAUUAGAAGAGGACACUAUGAUGUGUAUCAUCUCCUUGUAUCUGAGGGCGCAGAUCUGACCAUUACUGAUA